UCCUCAAAACAUUUUGAAAUUGGGUUCCAAGAAGACCCAAGAAUGGGUCCGAAUUCAAGCAAUUCAAGAAACCAAAACCGGUUUCUAUGCACACCCAAAUCCUCUUCACAUUCCCAACAUUGUGUCGUCGCUGAAAUAAUUCCACCAUUUGAAAAAGAACGAUCUCGAUUGCAUAUCCAGUUUCCAACUUUCAGGUGAAGAACGAAGGCAAGAAAAAAACCUUAAAUCCUUCAUCGAAAUCGAAAUCAAUGAAGGUUUUCUCUUGUGCGUGGAUGAGAGAGGACGGGGUAGGAGCUUACUAUACGAUUCCAAUGCAUGCAGGUGGAUGUUCUUUGAUUCGUCUGUGUCGUUUCUGAGUUGAGGUAAGGGCGAUAAAGAUGGUUGAAUCGAGAUGAGGAGUGAAGACGGUAUUUAAUCCAUGCCUUCGUCGAGAACGCGAAUAGGCCUGACUUAGCUCGAUUUAUGCUUUGGCUUAUUUUUCAAGAGGGUGAUUAAAGGUUAUCAGAAGUUGGGUCGGUGAUUAAAGUCAAGAGCGAAGAAUGAAGACGAUUCAAUCGUGAAAAUGUUGUUUUGGAGGGUUGUUAGGAGUGUCAAAGUUAACGAAAAAAAAGUUAGUCAUGUAUCAACUGAUGAAGGGUAAAGAAGUUUGUUCGGAGGUUGUUGAAGUUUGGUCAAAAGUGGUUAGAAGCUUAGAAUUUGGCUAUGGUUCUGAAUUUGUGUUUCAUUUGUGCGUGUUAAUGGUUUUAUGUGGAAAAGGCAAGGCUUUUUGGUCAAUAGCUCGAAAUGCAAGAACUUAGAGUUGCAAUUGAACAUUGAAUGUUUGCUUGGAAUGGCUAGGAAUUUGUUGUACAUUUUGUAGUUUGGAAUGUAAUAUGUAUUGAAAUGAAUGACUUGUGUGGUGAUUUGUAAAUGAAAUUGAAUGUGUGAAAUAUUGGAUUAAUGAUUUAUGGUGGAAAUGUUUU